rnacentral:rRNA from 1 species
UUACGCCCGAUCUCGUCCGAUCUCGGAAGCUAAGCAGGGUCGGGCCUGGUUAGUACUUGGAUGGGAGACCGCCUGGGAAUACCAGGUGCUGUAAGCUU